GACGUAGGGCGCGAGCGUUGUCCGGAUUUAUUGGGCGUAAAGAGCUCGUAGGCGGCUUGUUGCGUCAGCUGUGAAAACCCGCAGCUCAACUGUGGGCUUGCAGCUGAUACGGGCAGGCUUGAGUUCGGUAGGGGAGACUGGAAUUCCUGGUGUAGCGGUGAAAUGCGCAGAUAUCAGGAGGAAUACCGGUGGCGAAGGCGGCAUCCUGGACCAAUACUGACGCUGAGGAGCGAAAGCCAGGGGAGCAAACGGG
rnacentral:rRNA from 1 species